GCAGCCGCGGUAAUACGUAGGUGGCAAGCGUUGUCCGGAUUUACUGGGUGUAAAGGGCGUGUAGCCGGGACUACAAGUCAGGUGUGAAAUUUCGGGGCUCAACCCCGAACCUGCAUUUGAAACUGUAGUUCUUGAGUAUCGGAGAGGCAGACGGAAUUCCUAGUGUAGCGGUGAAAUGCGUAGAUAUUAGGAGGAACACCAGUGGCGAAGGCGGUCUGCUGGACGACAACUGACGGUGAGGCGCGAAAGCGUGGGGAGCAAACAGGAUUAGAUACCCC
rnacentral:rRNA from 1 species